CUUCAGCAGCGUGAACAUCACAGAAGACCAGCAGAGUUAUCUGCUCGUUACACAGCGAGCGCUAUGCGGUGGUCCGAACCAGCUCAGGAACGUACAAGAUCAGAUUAGACUGGCCAGACAAUCUAGAUGAUUGUGAUCGUGAAUAUUGGAUCGCCAAGGGAAGUGAUGAAUGUCAAUACGCUGAGAGUGACUUCUCUUCAUCCAUGCGAUUGUAUGACAAUGAAAAGAAACCUCGG